rnacentral:rRNA from 1 species
GAAAUGNGAUANGUAAUGUGAAUUGCAGAAUUCAGUGAAUCAUCGAAUCUUUGAACGCACCUUGCGCCCCUUGGCAUUCCGAGGGGCACACCCGUUUGAGUGUCGUGAAAUCCUCAAAACCCCUCUUUUCUUUCAUCGGAACGGGGGAUUUUGGACUUGGAGGUUCAAUGCUUGCUUUUGCUUUCAAAGGCGAGCUCCUCUUAAAUGAAUCAGUGGGGUCCGCUUUGCUGAUCCUUGACGUGAUAAGAUGUUUCUACGUUUUGGAUCUGGCACUGUUUUCUCCGCUCCUAAUCGUCUCAUUGACAACGAUGGUGCUUCGGUCCCUGCCAUCUA